ensembl:lncRNA DLGAP1-AS2 DLGAP1 antisense RNA 2
AAAAGAGCUUGAAACCUACCAAGCCGGAGGACUGUGCUGUGCCUCUCUCGCCCACAUUUUCCCCAAGCACUCUCAGGAACCUGGCAACAGUGUCCCCUUGUGGCCAAGCCUGGAACAUCACAUCUGUACGUUGCAAUCUGUGGAUCAGCUACGAGAAAAGUAUAGUAAGAAGAAACUGAAUUUGAAGUGGAUUCUUACAAAGGAAAAAGAAAAUCACUAUUGUAACUAUACCAAAUUACUAUGUAUGUGAGCUCCCAGCUUUGACAUCAAGUCGUUACAGCCACGUAAUGGGAUUACGGAUUAUGUGAUGCAACAAAAUUCAAAUAUGAAAACCAUCUCGGAGGCCGGGCGCGGUGGCUCACGCCUUUAAUCCCAGCACUUUGGGAGGCCGAGGUGGGUGGAUCAUUUGAGGUCAGAAGUUCAAGACCAGCCUGGCCAACACGGUGAAACCCUGUCUCUACUAAAAAUACAAAAAUUAACUGGGCGUGGUGGCACAUGCCUGUAAUCCCAGCUACUCGGGAGGCUGAGGCAGGAGAAUUGCUUGAACCUGGGAGGCGGAGGUUGCAGUGAGCCGAGAUCACGCCAUUGUUCUCCAGCCUGGGCAACAAGAGCAAAACUCUGUCUCAAAAAUAAAAUAAAAAAUUGCUUUAAAAAAUAAAAA